rnacentral:rRNA from 1 species
ACUCCUACGGGAGGCAGCAGUGGGAAGUAUUGCACAAUGGGCGGCAAGCAUGCAUGCAGCCAUGCCGCGUGUGUGAAGAAGGCCUUCGGGUUGUAAAGCACUUUCAGUCGUGAGGAAGGUGGUGUUGUUAAUAGCAGCAUCAUUUGACGUUAGCGACAGAAGAAGCACCGGCUAACUCCGUGCCAGCAGCCGCGGUAAUACGGAGGGUGCGAGCGUUAAUCGGAAUUACUGGGCGUAAAGCGCAUGCAGGUGGUUUGUUAAGUCAGAUGUGAAAG